rnacentral:misc_RNA from 1 species
UCUCCGUAGGUGAACCUGCGGAGGAAUCAUUACAGAGUUCAUGCCCUACCGGGUAGAUCUCCCACCCUAUGUUAUUAUUACUUUGUUGCUUUGGCGGGCCGUUAGGCUCCGGCCCGACUACCGGCCCCGGCUGGUAAGCGCCCGCCAGAGGACCCAAAACCCUGAAUAUUAGUGUCGUCUGAGUACUAUAUAAUAGUUAAAACUUUCAACAACGGAUCUCUUGGUUCUGGCAUCGAUGGAAGAACGCAGC